rnacentral:lncRNA from 2 species
UGAGACCCACAUGUCAGUUUCACGCAGGAAUUAUAAAAAAGGUGGGGCCCACGUGGGCCCCACAUAUCAGUUUCACACAGUCUUUAGGGCACAUCUGGUGGGCCCCACGCUGGCCUUCAUGGACAGGCACCUCCUCGUCGUCCAGGACAUCGCCGCGGUGCUCUUCCCGGCCACCGAGCGCGUCCUCGGCAGGGCCGACGACCUCGUCCUCCUCGUCGAGUCCCUGCCCGCCAAGCUCACGGCGCGAUCGACGGCCUCGAGGCCUUCGUCGCCGGCGCCGUGGGGCACCCGCUGGGGCACGGGGCACGGCGGUGGUGGCGGCCGAGCACGGGGGAGCUCCCCAUCCCAUCCACUGUCUUUCGCUUCGCCUAGCUCGCCCUCCGCUGCUCUGCCCGCGGCCGCGCUCGCCCGCCGCCCCUCCGCCGCCGCGCUCGCCCUCCGCUGCUUUGCCCACUGUUGCGCUUGCCCGCCGCCGCUCCUCUGCCGCGCUCGCAUAUUGAAGCAGGUCGUCACGGCGGACGACGGCGGCGGUGGCGGUGGCGGUGGCAACAACGUGCAUGGCGACAAGGCUCCCGUUGACGGCAAAGGAGAGGCAGCGACUCCGGCGAAACGCGCCGACGUAUCAGGUGGCCAAGAAUGCGGCGUGGUCCGCGUGGAGGAUGUACAGCGGGUGGAGACGCCAGCUGGAGAGAUCACGAAUGCCAUGAAGGACACGGAGAUCAUGAAGAAUAAGGACCAGGAGAGAGGAGGCAGCGAGAGGGAAGAAGAGGAGACCGUUGCCAUGGCCGGCACGGGGAGCAGGGAGGAAGCAUUGCUG